UUCCUACGGGACGCAGCAGUGAGGAAUAUUGGUCAAUGGGAGAGAUCCUGAACCAGCCAAGCCGCGUGAGGGAAGACGGCCCUAUGGGUUGUAAACCUCUUUUGUCGGAGAACAAAACCCGGGACGUGUCCCGGACUGCGUGUAUCCGAAGAAAAAGCAUCGGCUAACUCCGUGCCAGCAGCCGCGGUAAUACGUAGGGGGCAAGCGUUAUCCGGAUUCACUGGGCGUAAAGGGAGCGCAGGCGGCACGGCAAGUCUGGUGUGAAAACCC
rnacentral:rRNA from 1 species